rnacentral:rRNA from 1 species
AAGUCGUAACAAGGUUUCCGUAGGUGAACCUGCGGAAGGAUCAUUAAAGAGUACCGGCGCCUUCGGGUGCCUACUCCCACCAAAUGUGAACUCAUAACUGUUGCUUUGGCGGACCGGUAGUCUUCUGCCCUCCGGCUCCGGCUGGAGAGAGUCCGCCAGAGGAUUUUUGAACCCGUUUAACCGUGACAUCUGAGUCUUUACAAAUGAAUUAAAACUUUCAACAACGGAUCUCUUGGCUCUGGCAUCGAUGAAGAACGCAGCGAAAUGCGAUAAGUAAUGUGAAUUGCAGAAUUUAGUGAAUCAUCGAAUCUUUGAACGCACAUUGCGCCCUUUGGUAUUCCGAAGGGCAUGCCUGCUCGAGCGUCAUUUAAACUCUCAAGCCCCGCUUGGUGUUGGGUGCAGGUCCCUCACGGGACCCGCCCGUAACUAGUUGGCGGUACCGUCCGGCUUUAAGCGUAGCAAGAAUCUNCCCUCGCUUCGAAGUCCGGGUGGCGCCUGCCAGGGAAUCACACCCCUUAAAGUUUGACCUCGGAUCAGGUAGGGAUACCCGCUGAACUUAAGCAUAUCAACAAGCGGAGGAAAAGAAACCAACUGGGAUUGCCUUAGUAACGGCGAGUGAAGCGGCAACAGCUCAAAUUUGAAAUCUGGCCUCGGCCCGAGUUGUAAUUUGAAGAGGAUGCUUUGGGGUCGGCCCUGGUCUAAGUUCCUUGGGACAGGACGUCGCAGAGGGUGAGAGUCCCGUACGCGGCCGGGCGCCUUCUCCGUGUAAAGCUCCUUCGACGAGUCGAGUUGUUUGGGAAUGCAGCUCUAAAUGGGAGGUAUAUUUCUUCUAAAGCUAAAUACCGGCCAGAGACCGAUAGCGCACAAGUAGAGUGAUCGAAAGAUGAAAAGCACUUUGGAAAGAGAGUUAAAAAGUACGUGAAAUUGUUGAAAGGGAAGCGUUUGCGGCCAGACCUGAUGGCGGUUGCUCAGCCGGUCUUUUGCCCGGUGCACUCUUCCGCCCUUAGGCCAGCAUCAGUUUGGGCGGCUGGAUAAAGGCAUUGGGAACGUGGCUCCUCGGAGUGUUACAGCCCUUUGCACAAUACAGCCCGCCCGGACUGAGGACAGCGUUCGCUAGGAUGCUGGCGUAAUGGCAGCCAACGGCC